rnacentral:rRNA from 1 species
UACGUAGGUGGCGAGCGUUAUCCGGAAUGAUUGGGCGUAAAGGGUGCGUAGGCGGCCUGCUAAGUCUGGAGUGAAAGGUACCGGCUCAACGGGGUGAAGUGCCAUUGAUACUGCCUUGCUGGAAUGCGGAUGCCGUGGGAGGAAUGUGUGGUGUAGCGGUGAAAUGCAUAGAUAUCACACAGAACACCGAUUGCGAAGGCAUCUCACGAAUCCGCUAUUGACGCUGAUGCACGAAAGCGUGGGUAUCAAACAGG